GGGGGCGGCACGCUCGGUCCCACGCGGAGCCGCGUGGCGGGCCCGGCUCCCGCCGCCGCCCCUGCGCGGAUCGGGAACACCGCCGGACACAAGGGAUCAGAUCCCGGCGGGACUGGGAGCCAGAGAGGCUGCCAGAUGCUUAAAGGACUCAAAGAAAGGAAGUUAGAGGCUGACAAAAGCACCUACAUCCAGCCUAACACCAGCAUCAGAUCCACUCCAGUCAUCAGCUGCUCUGGCAGGUAGGACCUCUGACAGGAAGUUACCACAGACUUCACAAACAGGAUGGAAAGAUGAUGUUUGACAGGUAAGUGGAACAGCCUUUACUUCUACCAAAGUAGAUUCUUUCUCAAGGUUUUUAUCUAUUAAUACUGACUGUUUUUACAGGCUGACACAAUAUUACUAACAAAAGCAUUGUCAACUUUAAUGAAGCUGAGUACCUGGUACAGGUAAUCACAAUAGGAGGUUAUUUUAGCAGUGGUAGCACCCUAAGAAUGGGGAAGCAGGAAAAUGCCAGGAGUCAGUAUUCCAUGGUCCUUGUAACCUUUUCUUUCAAGACAAGGCAGACAUAAUUUCUAUGGCUAGGACAGAAUUUCAUACUGAGGAGCCGUCAAUACAAAAACAAAAGAAGGAGCUGAGGGGAAAAGAAGAUAAGGGACCUGCCCCCUCUUUCUCAUUAGAGCAUCUGAUGCUGGCAGGAGCAAACAAUAUUAAAGAAACAGUGUGAGGGGGAGAGGGAAGCAGUAUGAAAACAACCAGUUCCUAUAGCCACCCUAGGACAAAGAACAUUCAAAUAGGAGGAACAAAAGUCAAACAAAAGGAGUAAGGGCAAAAAGACACAAAUACUAGUGCAAACAAUCACAUGUACAGAAGGAGACAGGCAAGAGAAACACCUGGGUAGGUUGAGAAGACUGGCUCCAAGCAAAAAAGUGGAGUAAACCUGGGGAGAAAGCAAACCUGAUUUCUCAGGGAUCAGAAAGGUAAGUAUCAGAUGUUAAAUGGGGUGUGAGGGAAAGAAGGAGUGAGGAAACAAACACAAAAACUAGAGCUGUAAAAGGAGAAAGAGGUGUUCUGACCUAAUGCUCUUAAAGGAAAGGUCUAGGGAAGGAAGAUUCUUUGCUAGGAGGAGGAUAGGAGAAAACUGAAGGGUCUCAGGAUGCCUGCCAAUGAAAUUUCUAUAUCACAUUUUAAAAAUUAAACCUUUUCCUCUGUGCUUAACUAAA